rnacentral:rRNA from 1 species
UACGGGGGGGGCAAGCGUUGUUCGGAAUUACUGGGCGUAAAGGGCUCGUAGGCGGCCAACUAAGUCAGACGUGAAAUCCCUAGGCUCAACCUAGGAACUGCGUCUGAUACUGGAUGGCUUGAAUCCGGGAGAGGGAUGCAGAAUUCCAGGUGUAGCGGUGAAAUGCAUAGAUAUCUGGAGGAAUACCGGUGGCGAAGGCGGCAUCCUGGACCGGCAUUGACGCUGAGGAGCGAAAGCUAGGGGAGCAAACGGG